GAUGAAGAACGUAGCGAAAUGCGAUACGUAAUGUGAAUUGCAGAAUUCAGUGAAUCAUCGAAUCUUUGAACGCAUAUUGCGCUCUCUGGUAUUCCGGAGAGCAUGCUUGUUUGAGUAUCAGUAAACACCUCAACUUCCAUAUCUUUUUUGAAAUGGGAGUUGGACUUGAGUGAUCCCAACGCUUUUCCUCACCGAAAAGUGGCGGGUUACUUGAAAUGCAGGUGCAGCUGGACUUUUCUCUGAGCUAUAAGCAUAUCUAUUUAGUCUGCCUAAAAAACAGAUUAUUACCUUUGCUGCAGCUAACAUAAAGGAGAUUAGUUCUUGUGCUGACUGAUGCAGGAUUCACAAAGACAGGCUUCGGCCGACUUUGUAAACUCGAUCUCAAAUCAAGUAAGACUACCCGCUGAACUUAAGCAUAUCAAUAAGCGGAGG
rnacentral:misc_RNA from 1 species